UACGAAGGGGGCUAGCGUUGCUCGGAAUCACUGGGCGUAAAGCGCACGUAGGCGGCUUCUUAAGUCAGGGGUGAAAUCCUGGAGCUCAACUCCAGAACUGCCUUUGAUACUGGGGAGCUCGAGUUCGGGAGAGGUGAGUGGAACUGCGAGUGUAGAGGUGAAAUUCGUAGAUAUUCGCAAGAACACCAGUGGCGAAGGCGGCUCACUGGCCCGAUACUGACGCUGAGGUGCGAAAGCGUGGGGAGCAAACAGG
rnacentral:rRNA from 1 species